rnacentral:rRNA from 1 species
CCAAUAGCGUAUAUUAAAGUUGUUGCAGUUAAAAAGCUCGUAGUUGAAUUUCGGGAUCAGUGCGCUGGUCGUGCCUUCGGUAUGUACUGGUGUUACUGGUUCCUACCUUCUGACGAACCGUCAUGUCAUUAAUUUGGUGUGGCGGGAAAUCAGGACUGUUACUUUGAAAAAAUUAGAGUGUUUAAAGCAGGCUCGCGCUUGAAUACAUUAGCAUGGAAUAAUGAAAUAGGGCGUUUGAUCCUAUUUUGUUGGUUUCUAGGAUUGACGUAAUGAUUAAUAGGGAUAGUUGGGGGCAUUAGUAUUCAAUUGUCAGAGGUGAAAUUCUUGGAUUUAUUGAAGACUAACUACUGCGAAAGCAUUUGCCAAGGAUGUUUUCAUUAAUCAAGAACGAAAGUUAGGGGAUCGAAGACGAUCAGAUACCGUCGUAGUCUUAACCAUAAACUAUGCCGACUAGGGAUCGGAUGAUGUUAAUUUUUUAAUGACUCAUUCGGCGCCUUACG